rnacentral:rRNA from 1 species
UACGUAGGGGGCAAGCGUUGUCCGGAAUCAUUGGGCGUAAAGAGCUCGUAGGCGGCUCGGUAAGUCGGGUGUGAAACCCCCAGGCUCAACCUGGGGACGCCACCCGAUACUGCUGUGGCUAGAGUCCAGUAGGGGAGUGUGGAAUUCCCGGUGUAGCGGUGAAAUGCGCAGAUAUCAGGAGGAACACCUAUUGCGAAGGCAGCUCGCUGGGACGUAACUGACGCUGAGACGCGAAAGCGUGGGGAGCAAACAGG